UACGGAGGAUGCGAGCGUUAUCCGGAUUUAUUGGGUUUAAAGGGUGCGUAGGCGGCUUUUUAAGUCAGCGGUUAAAUUUUGCAGCUUAACUGUAACAGUGCCGUUGAUACUGGGGAGCUAGGAUUUGGUUGCUGUGGGUGGAAUGUGUGGUGUAGCGGUGAAAUGCUUAGAGAUCACACAGAAUAUCGAUUGCGAAGGCAGCUCACAAAGCCAAGAUUGACGCUGAGGCACGAAAGCGUGGGGAGCAAACAGGAUUAGAUA
rnacentral:rRNA from 1 species